AAAAAAGUGUCGCUCUUAAAAGCGAGCGGAAUUGUGUAUUGUUGUGAUCUAACAAGAUGGCUUAGUUGAAAAAGUGAGCGGUGAUGAUGUCUGUAAUAAUUUUUGACCUCAGCUCAGUCGCGCUGAUUCCUUCAGCCACUGGUUGCUGUGAAUUGUGGCGUGUAGAUGCAGCUCUCUGUUCGUUCUAUGCACCCGAAAAUGCGGUCGUUUCAUGCAUGUGCACCAAGAGUUCGUAAGCAGAAAUACCGCUGUAGGACGGACCAGACGUCCGGUUAAAGUGCCAAAAUCCCCGCUCCUAAAAUCCUAUGAAAGGUGUUGAUUGAUAGACAGCAGGACGAUAGCCAUGGAAUUCGGAAGACGCUAAGGAGUGUGUAACAGCUCACCUGGCUGGUGAACUUGCUCUGAAAAUGGAUGAUGCUUGAACGGGAAACCUGACCGGUGCUUGGCUUGUAUGUUCCUCGUAUGGGAGAUUCGCCUGGCCGCAACGAUUAAAAGAGUGACAAUGGUUUUGCGUUGAAGGCUAUGGGCGCAGGCACGGCUGGAGCUUCCAGUGGUGCAGAUCUUGGUGAUAGUAGCAAAUAUUCAAGUGAGAUCUUUUAAGGUUGAAGUGACGAAGGGUUCCGUGUGGACAGCGGGUCAGUCGGCUCUAACGUAUAGGUCGGUCGGCCUUAAGAUACUGGCUGAUGCCAUGUGUUAUCGAGAAGGGAAGUUGUGUGAGGGUGGGCUUUGUUCCGAUAAUGGUAGAUAUCUGCGGCGUGUAACUACAUUUUGUGAAAGGGAACUAGGAAACGUUGCUAGGCCUCAGUGGAGCUGAUCGAACGUCUGUUAAGGCAGACCGUUCUUGGCAUUGCAAGAAAAGUCAAGGCUCAUCUGGCU
rnacentral:ncRNA from 1 species